GUAAAAAUUUUAUAAGAAUAUGAUGUUGGUUCAGAUUAAGCGCUAAAUAAGGACAUGACACAUGCGAAUCAUACGUUUAUUAUUGAUAAGAUAAUAAAUAUGUGGUGUAAACGUGAGUAAUUUUAUUAGGAAUUAAUGAACUAUAGAAUAAGCUAAAUACUUAAUAUAUUAUUAUAUAAAAAUAAUUUAUAUAAUAAAAAGGAUAUAUAUAUAAUAUAUAUUUAUCUAUAGUCAAGCCAAUAAUGGUUUAGGUAGUAGGUUUAUUAAGAGUUAAACCUAGCCAACGAUCCAUAAUCGAUAAUGAAAGUUAGAACGAUCACGUUGACUCUGAAAUAUAGUCAAUAUCUAUAAGAUACAGCAGUGAGGAAUAUUGGACAAUGAUCGAAAGAUUGAUCCAGUUACUUAUUAGGAUGAUAUAUAAAAAUAUUUUAUUUUAUUUAAAAUAUUAAAUAUUUAUAAUAAUAAUAAUAAUAAUAUAUAUAUAUAAAUUGAUUAAAAAUAAAAUCCAUAAAUAAUUAAAAUAAUGAUAUUAAUUACCAUAUAUAUUUUUAUAUGGAUAUAUAUAUUAAUAAUAAUAUUAAUUUUAUUAUUAUUAAUAAUAUAUUUUAAUAGUCCUGACUAAUAUUUGUGCCAGCAGUCGCGGUAACACAAAGAGGGCGAGCGUUAAUCAUAAUGGUUUAAAGGAUCCGUAGAAUGAAUUAUAUAUUAUAAUUUAGAGUUAAUAAAAUUAAUUAAAGAAUUAUAAUAGUAAAGAUGAAAUAAUAAUAAUAAUUAUAAGACUAAUAUAUGUGAAAAUAUUAAUUAAAUAUUAACUGACAUUGAGGGAUUAAAACUAGAGUAGCGAAACGGAUUCGAUACCCGUGUAGUUCUAGUAGUAAACUAUGAAUACAAUUAUUUAUAAUAUAUAUUAUAUAUAAAUAAUAAAUGAAAAUGAAAGUAUUCCACCUGAAGAGUACGUUAGCAAUAAUGAAACUCAAAACAAUAGACGGUUACAGACUUAAGCAGUGGAGCAUGUUAUUUAAUUCGAUAAUCCACGACUAACCUUACCAUAUUUUGAAUAUUAUAAUAAUUAUUAUAAUUAUUAUAUUACAGGCGUUACAUUGUUGUCUUUAGUUCGUGCUGCAAAGUUUUAGAUUAAGUUCAUAAACGAACAAAACUCCAUAUAUAUAAUUUUAAUUAUAUAUAAUUUUAUAUUAUUUAUUAAUAUAAAGAAAGGAAUUAAGACAAAUCAUAAUGAUCCUUAUAAUAUGGGUAAUAGACGUGCUAUAAUAAAAUGAUAAUAAAAUUAUAUAAAAUAUAUUUAAUUAUAUUUAAUUAAUAAUAUAAAACAUUUUAAUUUUUAAUAUAUUUUUUUAUUAUAUAUUAAUAUGAAUUAUAAUCUGAAAUUCGAUUAUAUGAAAAAAGAAUUGCUAGUAAUACGUAAAUUAGUAUGUUACGGUGAAUAUUCUAACUGUUUCGCACUAAUCACUCAUCACGCGUUGAAACAUAUUAUUAUCUUAUUAUUUAUAUAAUAUUUUUUAAUAAAUAUUAAUAAUUAUUAAUUUAUAUUUAUUUAUAUCAGAAAUAAUAUGAAUUAAUGCGAAGUUGAAAUACAGUUACCGUAGGGGAACCUGCGGUGGGCUUAUAAAUAUCUUAAAUAUUCUUACA
rnacentral:ncRNA from 1 species